UUUUUUAAAGAUAGCUGGGAGGUGGUAAGCAAAGAUGUAGUAGAUGCUAUAAUGAAAUUCUUUAGAACACGGGAGAUGCUAAAGGUACUGAAUCAUACAGUGAUAACCAUCAUUCCAAAAGGUUCUCAUGUUAAAAGUGUGGGAUAUUAGAGGCCUAUUGCAGGGUAUGUGCCACAAACUGAUUGUAGUUGGUAUUGGAAGAGAAUAUACAAUAUAAUGGAAAAG
rnacentral:lncRNA from 1 species